rnacentral:tRNA from 3 species
GCUGGUAUAGCUCAACUGGUAGAGCACCUGACUUGUAAUCAGGCGGUUGUGGGUUCAAGUCCUACUGCCAGCA